rnacentral:lncRNA from 1 species
UCAAAGUAGCACAAACUAAUUAUCUAGUGACAAUCUAAUCAAGUGGGGAUAUUUUUUUACAGUCUUAGUUCAACAAAUCACAACGUAUUAUUUAAUAUCUAAUUGUGUUUUAUUAGCUAUGAUACUAAAAUUAAACUACAAUAUCAUCAACUAUUUUCAUAUUCAAAUAGAGAGGUUGAGGAAGGAUCGAUAGCUGCUGCUGUAGUUGUUGUGGUUAAGUAGAAGUUUGAUGGGAACACAUAAAGGGAUGGAUUGCCACGUGGCAAGAAUAUUGUUCCUGAUGAAUGGAAAACAAAAUAUUAUUCCUUGUUUUGAUAGACGGGGUUUGAGUUUGAUUGAUAGCGUAGCCAAUGGGUGGGCUAAUUCUAACCGACCGCUUUUGCAGGGUCUACAAAUUGCCAACGCAAGUCGCCGCACGUUAUCACUUCCCCGUCCAGAUGUCUCCACCGAAAAAGCAAGAAAAAAAAGAGAGAAAUUGCAAAGAAGCACUGUGUUAGCGCAAAACCAAACUCAACUAUUUUUUUAAAAAAAAAAAGGAAAAAACGAAAUUAAAUCGAAAACGAUAGCUGGGAUUGGAGAAUUUCCCCAAGCAGCUUGAGUAUAUUAGUGAUCUUGGCUUUAUUAUUAUUAUUAUUACUCAGUUUUUAACCCUAAAAUUUCCCAAAAAUUCAAAAAAGAAGAAUGUCUUUUUCAGAAAUAGUCAUUUUAAAAAAAUAUUAAAAGAAUACAGUUUCUAAUUGCAAUUAUGCAAGAAUUUAAUUUAUAACCAGUCAAAAAGUCAUGCGGGCAUGCAAUUUGGGGUUUAAUUGAAUAAAAGGAUGAAAUUGGUUAUAUUUCACAAAUUAAAAGACCAAGGGUCAAAAUAAAAGAGAUGGUAAAAUUUAAAAGUCUAAUUAAUUCA